UGGGGAAUCUUGGACAAUGGGGGCAACCCUGAUCCAGCCAUGCCGCGUGAGUGAUGAAGGCCUUAGGGUCGUAAAGCUCUUUCGCCUGUGAAGAUAAUGACGGUAGCAGGUAAAGAAACCCCGGCUAACUCCGUGCCAGCAGCCGCGGUAAUACGGAGGGGGUUAGCGUUGUUCGGAAUUACUGGGCGUAAAGCGCACGUAGGCGGAUCGGAAAGUUGGGGGUGAAAUCCCGGGGGCUCAACCCCGGAACUGCCUCCAAAACUAUCGGUCUAGAGUUCGAGAGAGGUGAGUGGAAUUCCGAGUGUAGAGGUGAAAUUCGUAGAUAUUCGGAGGAACACCAGUGGCGAAGGCGGCUCACUGGCUCGAUACUGACGCUGAGGUGCGAAAGUGUGGGGAGCAAACAGGAUUAGAUACCCUGGUAGUCCACACCGUAAACGAUGAAUGCCAGUCGUCGGAUAGCAUGCUAUUCGGUGACACACCUAACGGAUUAAGCAUUCCGCCUGGGAGUACGGUCGCAAGAUUAAAACUCAAAUGAAUU
rnacentral:rRNA from 1 species